GCAUUUGCUUAAUAUUCAGGCAUAUCCUGGGUUCAGUCACCAGACCUGAGUAUGGUGGUUCAUAAUUUUAGUCUCAGCACUCUGAAGAAGGCAGAGUUAGAGGAGACGGCAGAGGCAGAGGCAGAGGAACAUGCAGAGGCAGAGGAACAGGCAGAUCUAUGUGAGUUCAAGGCCAGCAUGUUCUAUAAAGCCAGUUCCAACACUGCCAGGGCUACACCAAAACCCCCAGUCUUUAAAAAAAGAAAAAAAAAACAAGAAAAACAAGACAGAACAACAGCAACAAUAAAGUGUUAUACAUCCCAGAAAAUAAUGAUGUCUGACAUUCUCUGUGGGCCAGGUGCUAAGACAGACAAAAAAAGAUGUUAUUAUUAUUUUGCUUUUGAACAUUUAAUUUUCUUUGUUGCUGAAAUCUAAAUAAAUACUCUUGAUUAGGAGGGACAGCUGGACAUUUGAACAGGUGGUUUCAAAAGAUUACAG
rnacentral:lncRNA from 1 species